rnacentral:rRNA from 1 species
AAACAGGUGCUAAUACCGCAUAACCAUAGUUACCGCAUGGUAACUAUGUAAAAGGUGGCUAUGCUACCGCUUUUGGAUGGGCCCGCGGCGCAUUAGCUAGUUGGUGGGGUAAAGGCUUACCAAGGCAAUGAUGCGUAGCCGAACUGAGAGGUUGAUCGGCCACAUUGGGACUGAGACACGGCCCAAACUCCUACGGGAGGCAGCAGUAGGGAAUCUUUCACAAUGGGCGAAAGCCUGAUGGAGCAACGCCGCGUGGGUGAAGAAGGUCUUCGGAUCGUAAAACCCUGUUGUUAGAGAAGAAAGUGCGUGAGAGUAACUGUUCACGUUUCGACGGUAUCUAACCAGAAAGCCACGGCUAACUACGUGCCAGCAGCCGCGGUAAUACGUAGGUGGCAAGCGUUAUCCGGAUUUAUUGGGCGUAAAGGGAACGCAGGCGGUCUUUUAAGUCUGAUGUGAAAGCCUUCGGCUUAACCGGAGUAGUGCAUUGGAAACUGGGAGACUUGAGUGCAGAAGAGGAGAGUGGAACUCCAUGUGUAGCGGUGAAAUGCGUAGAUAUAUGGAAGAACACCAGUGGCGAAAGCGGCUCUCUGGUCUGUAACUGACGCUGAGGUUCGAAAGCGUGGGUAGCAAACAGGAUUAGAUACCCUGGUAGUCCACGCCGUAGACGAU